rnacentral:rRNA from 1 species
GAUGAACGCUGGCGGCGUGCUUAACACAUGCAAGUCGAACGGGAAAUAUUUUAUUGAAGCUUCGGCAGAUUUAGCUUGUUUCUAGUGGCGGACGGGUGAGUAACGCGUGGGUAACCUGCCUUAUACUGGGGGAUAACAGCCAGAAAUGACUGCUAAUACCGCAUAAGCGCACAGAACCGCAUGGUUCGGUGUGAAAAACUCCGGUGGUAUAAGAUGGACCCGCGUUGGAUUAGCUAGUUGGCAGGGCAGCGGCCUACCAAGGCGACGAUCCAUAGCCGGCCUGAGAGGGUGAACGGCCACAUUGGGACUGAGACACGGCCCAGACUCCUACGGGAGGCAGCAGUGGGGAAUAUUGCACAAUGGGGGAAACCCUGAUGCAGCGACGCCGCGUGAAGGAAGAAGUAUCUCGGUAUGUAAACUUCUAUCAGCAGGGAAGAUAAUGACGGUA